GAUCAUGGCUCAGGACGAACGCUGGCGGCGCGCCUAACACAUGCAAGUCGAACGGGAGAUGAAGAGCUUGCUCUUCAAAUCGAGUGGCGAACGGGUGAGUAACGCGUGAGGAACCUGCCUCAAAGAGGGGGACAACAGUUGGAAACGACUGCUAAUACCGCAUAAGCCCACGGCUCGGCAUCGAGCAGGGGGAAAAGGAGCAAUCCGCUUUGAGAUGGCCUCGCGUCCGAUUAG
rnacentral:rRNA from 1 species